rnacentral:rRNA from 1 species
UACAGAGGGGGCAAGCGUUGUUCGGAAUUACUGGGCGUAAAGGGCGCGUAGGCGGUUCGUUAAGUCCUGUGUGAAAUCCCCCGGCUCAACCUGGGAACUGCGUCUGAUACUGGAUGGCUUGAAUCCGGGAGAGGGAUGCAGAAUUCCAGGUGUAGCGGUGAAAUGCGUAGAUAUCUGGAGGAACACCCGUGGCGAAGGCGGCUCCCUGGUCCGAUUCUGACGCUGAGACGCGAAAGCGUGGGGAGCGAACAGG